GCGCACCAGGCGCGAAACUUCACACUGUGCGAAAGCACGAUGAGGGAAUCCCAAGUGCUUGCACGUAAGUGUAAGCUGUUUCUCUGUUUAAAACGCAGAGAGAGUAAGGGCUGGGUAAGACGGGUGCCAGCCGCCGCGGUAAUACCUGCAGCCCAAGUGGUGACCGUUAUUAUUGGGCCUAAAACGUCCGUAGCCGGUUUAAUAAAUGCCUGGGUAAAUCGUGUAGCUUAACUAUACGAAUUCCGGGUAGACUGUUAAACUCGAGACCGGGGAGAAGUUAGAGGUACUCCUGGGGUAGAGGUGAAAUUCUGUAAUCCUAGGGGGACCACCAGUGGCGAAGGCGUCUAACUAGAACGGGUCUGACGGUGAGGGACGAAGCCCUGGGGCGCAAAACGGGGAUUAGAUACCCGCGUAGU
rnacentral:rRNA from 1 species